AAAUAAGGUAAAUAACGUGUUGACCUUAUUUUAUUAUAUGUAUAGUUAUUUUCUUUAGGCAAUUACGUUCUAUAUGAUGCAAAUGUUACACGACACAAAUUUGAUAAAGGGUUGAAAUCACACAAAUACAAGUCAAUGAAAUGAGUUACAACGACAAGAAAUGUUUUCAUGAAACCUUGAUCAUUGAUUGGUUGGAACCUUGAAUAUUAGAACCUUGAAUAAGCUUUGAUCCUCACACGCACAUUUUACGUUGUCGUAUGCCUUUGCUGUGUAAAAUAACAUGUUGUUUCUUGUAUUUUUAGUAUAGAUUUUUUUAACAAUUAAUAAACAUUUUAUUAAA